AACGAACGCUGGCGGCGCGUCUUAAACAUGCAAGUCGAACGGCAGGAAGGGGCUUGCCCCUUCUGAGAGUGGCGGACUGGUGAGUAACACGUGGGUGACAUACCUUUUAGUUGGGGAUAGCUAUUAGAAAUAGUAGUUAAUACCGAAUGUGACCGUACCUGUUAGAGGGGUACGAGGAAAGGAGCUAAGGCUUCGCUAAAAGAAUGGCUCGCGGCCCAUUAUGCUCGUUGGUGAGGUAACGGCCCACCAAGGCGAUGAUGGGUAUCCGGCCUGAGAGGGUGAACGGACACAUUGGGACUGAGAUACGGCCCAGACUUCUACGGGAGGCAGCAGUUAAGAAUAUUCCGCAAUGGACGAAAGUCUGACGGAGCGACGCCGCGUGGAUGAAGAAUGCCGAAAGGUUGUAAAAUCCUUUUAAGCCUGAUGAAUAAGCACAGUAGGGAAUGAUUGUGCGGUGACCGUAGGGCUUGAAUAAGCACCGGCUAAUUACGUG
rnacentral:rRNA from 1 species